UCGGUUCUGAAACAUGCCUGGGAACUACACACAUGUGAACUUCCUGGGGCCUGUUAUUCUCGUAUUUAACAGGGAGCGAGAUUUUAAGCACUUGACAGACUGCUUUUAUUCUAUCUACCUCUCUGUCCACUCUGCUUUGCCAGAUCAAUUCAUCAUUCUCCAUGAGGACUAAGAACAUCAGUGUCCACUCCCUUUAUGGAGAUGACACCAAGAGACACCAAGGCAAUGAGGAAUUUGCCUGGAAACAAAGAAAAUGUGCGUAUGGACCACAGUGAGAACUCAGGUUUUCGGAACUGCAGUUCUUUCCUCAGCUGGCUGGUGGGCUACCUCUUAUUUACAUUUUCUUUGCUGUUUUUACAUACUUGUAAAUACCUUCACAGGAGCUGGCAGAGGGACAGAGGUUCUCCUUAUACUCCUGGCUUGUGAACUGGGACAGUCACUUGGGCACUCUGAACCACUGUUUUUCUUGAGUGGAGAAGGAGGUGACAUUUUUCAUGUCAUUUUUGCUCUGGCCAUUCAUGUGUGUAAACCCAUGGGACUUUGACAAACCCAAGCCCAACAUGCUCUGACGCACAUGGGAUCACAAAGCCAGGCAGAAAAAGGAUCAGUAGAUGCCUGACUGUUAUUUUGGGAGCAUGUGCCAUCCAGAAAAAGUUAGGAAGCUAAGUGGCUCCCAGAUCUUGCCAUCAUAUGAGAGUAUCACAGCUGCUAAGUUUGGGCUCAGGUCCAGGUUAGGAGUGUCUGGCCCACGGUCCACACUUGACUUAAAUUAGUCAGGGCAAAAUAUCUGGAUCAGCACCAGGACACCCAGAUAUUUGUCCCAAGGCUAUGGAAAAUAUGUGCACCUUUCUUGCCCUAAAAGACUGCUUUAUUUUACAUAGAUAACUAUAUAUAUUUGUGCAUGUAUGUGUGUGUGUGGGGCAAGGAUUUCUCUCUCUCUCUCUCUCUCUCUCUCUCUCUCUCUCUCACACACACACACACACACACACACACACACAGAGGCACAGAUUUUAUGGUACCCACAGGCCUUUCAGAUAAGAGGCUCUCAAUUGAUCAAACAAAAGCCAGUUCCAUACAGUGACAGACAUUUUGUUGACUAGGUUAGCAGGAUGUGGAAAUUUUGUUUUAGUUUUUUUUUUUUU
rnacentral:lncRNA from 1 species